rnacentral:tRNA from 1 species
AUUUUGAUAGCUUAAAUUUUUUAAAGCGUAAUAUUGAAGAUAUUAAAAUAGUUUUAAACUUUAAAAUA